rnacentral:rRNA from 1 species
UUGCACGCUGGCGGCAGGCCUAACACCUGCCAGUCGAACGGUAACAGGAAGAAGCUUGCUUCUUUGCUGACGAGUGGCGGACGGGUGAGUAAUGUCUGGGAAACUGCCUGAUGGAGGGGGAUAACUACUGGAAACGGUAGCUAAUACCGCAUAACGUCGCAAGACCAAGAGGGGGACCUUCGGGCCUCUUGCCAUCGGAUGUGCCCAGAUGGGAUUAGCUAGUAGGUGGGGUAACGGCUCACCUAGGCGACGAUCCCUAGCUGGUCUGAGAGGAUGACCAGCCACACUGGAACUGAGACACGGUCCAGACUCCUACGGGAGGCAGCAGUGGGGAAUAUUGCACAAUGGGCGCAAGCCUGAUGCAGCCAUGCCGCGUGUAUGAAGAAGGCCUUCGGGUUGUAAAGUACUUUCAGCGGGGAGGAAGGGAGUAAAGUUAAUACCUUUGCUCAUUGACGUUACCCGCAGAAGAAGCACCGGCUAACUCCGUG